AUUGAACGCUGGCGGCAGGCCUAACACAUGCAAGUCGAACGAGUGGCGGACGGGUGAGUAAUGACUGGGAAAAUGCGUGAUGGAGGGGGAUAACUACUGGACACGGUAGCUACUACCGCAUACCAUCGGAUGUGCCGAGAUGGGAUUAGCUAGUAGGUGGGGUAACGGCUCACCUAGGCGACGAUCCCUAGCUGGUCUGAGAGGAUGACCAGCCACACUGGAACUGAGACACGGUCCAGACUCCUACGGGAGGCAGCAGUGGGGAAUAUUGCACAAUGGGCGCAAGCCUGAUGCAGCCAUGCCGCGUGUAUGAAGAAGGCCUUCGGGUUGUAAAGUACUUUCAGCGGGGAGGCGUUACCCGCAGAAGAAGCACCGGCUAACUCCGUGCCAGCCGCCGCGGUAAUAC
rnacentral:rRNA from 1 species